AUUGAACGCUGGCGGCACGCCUAACACAUGCAAGUCGAGCGGUAACGGGAUUUGUAGAAAUACAGAUUGCUGACGAGCGGCGGACGGGUGAGUAAUACGUAGGAAUCUGCCUUGAGGAGGGGGAUAACACGAGGAAACUCGUGCUAAUACCACAUAAAGUCUGAGGACCAAAGCUUGGGACUGUAAAAGGCCAGGCGCCUUAAGAUGAGCCUACGAUGGAUUAGCUAGUUGGUGGGGUAAAGGCCUACCAAGGCAACGAUCCAUAGCUGUUCUGAGAGGAAGAUCAGCCACACUGGAACUGAGAGACGGUCCAGACUCCUACGGGAGGCAGCAGUGGGGAAUAUUGGACAAUGGGGGCAACCCUGAUCCAGCCAUGCCGCGUGAGUGAAGAAGGCCUCGGGUUGUAAAGCUCUUUUGUCCGGAAAGAAAGCAUCUGGUUAAUACCCGGGUGUUCUGACGGUACCGGAAGAAUAAGCACCGGCUAACUUCGUGCCAGCAGC
rnacentral:rRNA from 1 species